rnacentral:rRNA from 1 species
CCUACGGGGGGCUGCAGUGGGGAAUAUUGCGCAAUGGAGAAGAACUCUGACGCAGCAAUACCGCGUGAGCGAAGAAGGUCUUCGGAUCGUAAAGCUCUGUUAUCAGGGAAGAAGAAAAUGACGGUACCUGAUGAGCAAGUCCCGGCUAACUACGUGCCAGCAGCCGCGGUAAUACGUAGGGGACAAGCGUUGUCCGGAAUCACUGGGCGUAAAGGGCGCGCAGGCGGUGAUUUAAGCAGGAUGUGAAAGGCUACGGCUCAACCGUAGACAUGCACCCUGAACUGGGUCACUUGAGUAUUGGAGAGGCAGGCAGAAUUCCUGGUGUAGCGGUGAAAUGCGUAGAUAUCAGGAGGAAUACCGGUGGCGAAGGCGGCCUGCUGGACAAAUACUGACGCUGAGGCGCGAAAGCGUGGGGAGCAAACAGGCUUAGAUACCCCGGUAGUC